rnacentral:rRNA from 1 species
AGAAUCAACGCUGGCGGCGUGCCUCAGACAUGCAAGUCGAACGCGAAAGUCCCCUUCGGGGGCAAGUAGAGUGGCGCACGGGUGAGUAACACGUAGGUAAUCUACCUUCGGAUGGGGAAUAACAAUCGGAAACGGUUGCUAAUACCGCAUAAUGCAGCGGCACCUAAUGGUGACAGUUGUUAAAGCGGGGGAUCGAAAGACCUCGCGUCUGAAGAGGAGCCUGCGGCGGAUUAGCUAGUUGGUAAGGUAACGGCUUACCAAGGCGACGAUCCGUAGCCGGCCUGAGAGGGUGGUCGGCCACACUGACACUGACAUACGGGUCAGAUUCCUACGGGAGCAGCAGUCGGGUAAUUUGGGACAA